UUUUUCGAUGAGGCUACCUGCAGUCGAGGGGCAGCAUUAUAAAAAGCUUGCUUUUUAUAGAUGGCGACCGGCGCACGGGUGAGUAACGCGUAUGCAACCUGCCUUACAUUGGGGGAUAGCCCAGAGAAAUCUGGAUUAAUACCGCAUAAUAUGUUUAAAUCGCAUGAUUAAGACAUUAAAACUCCGGUGAUGUAAGAUGGGCAUGCGUAGCAUUAGUUAGUUGGUAAGGUAACGGCUUACCAAGACAAUGAUGCUUAGGGGGUCUGAGAGGAUAGUCCCCCACACUGGUACUGAGACACGGACCAGACUCCUACGGGAGGCAGCAGUGAGGAAUAUUGGUCAAUGGACGCAAGUCUGAACCAGCCAUGUCGCGUGCAGGAUGACGGCCCUAUGGGUUGUAAACUGCUUUUUUACAGGAAUAAUUGCUUUCACGUGUGAAGGUUUGAAUGUACUGUAUGAAUAAGGAUCGGCUAACUCCGUGCCAGCAGCCGCGGUAAUACGGAGGAUUCGAGCGUUAUCCGGAUUUAUUGGGUUUAAAGGGUCCGUAGGCGGUCUUUUAAGUCAGUGGUGAAAUCCCGGAGCUUAACUCCGGAACUGCCAUUGAAACUGAAGGACUUGAAUAUGGUUGAGGUAGGCGGAAUACGUUAUGUAGCGGUGAAAUGCAUAGAUAUAACGUAGAACACCAAUUGCGAAGGCAGCUUACUAAGCCAUUAUUGACGCUGAUGGACGAAAGCGUGGGGAGCGAACAGGAUUAGAUACCCUGGUAGUCCACGCCGUAAACGAUGAUUACUCGUUGUGCACAAUACAUCGUGCGUGACUGAGCGAAAGCAUUAAGUAAUCCACCUGGGGAGUA
rnacentral:rRNA from 1 species